rnacentral:tRNA from 1 species
AUUUAGAUAGUUUAACAAAAAUAUUGAAUUGUGAUUUCAAAGAUGUUUAUUAACUCUAAAUU